UACAGAGGGGGCAAGCGUUGUUCGGAAUUACUGGGCGUAAAGCGCACGUAGGCGGAUAGUUUAGUCAGAGGUGAAAGCCCAGGGCUCAACCUUGGAAUUGCCUUUGAUACUGGCUAUCUUGAGUACGGAAGAGGUAUGUGGAACUCCGAGUGUAGAGGUGAAAUUCAUAGAUAUUCGGAAGAACACCAGUGGCGAAGGCGACAUACUGGUCCGUUACUGACGCUGACGGCUCGAAAGCGAUGGG
rnacentral:rRNA from 1 species